UCCGCUGCGAUUGGCACGGAUUUGGCCUUCACUGGUAGCCUGGUAACAUAUAGUCCCAGGUCUUUCUCUGCCUCUGUGGUGGAUAGUGGAGUGUUUCCCAUGUGGUAUUGGUGUGCUGGAUAUCCCUUCACUGGUAGCCUGGUAACAUACACUCCCAGGUCUUUCUCUGCCUCUGUGGUGGAUAGUGGAGUGUUUCCCAUGUGGUAUUGGUGUGCUGGAUAUCCCUUCACUGGUAGCCUGGUAACAUACACUCCCAGGUCUUUCUCUGCCUCUGUGGUGGAUAGUGGAGUGUUUCCCAUGUGGUAUUGGUGUGCUGGAUAUCCCUUCACUGGUAGCCUGGUAACAUAUAGUCCCAGGUCUUUCUCUGCCUCUGUGGUGGAUAGUGGAGUGUUUCCCAUGUGGUAUUGGUGUGCUGGAUAUCCCUUCACUGGUAGCCUGGUAACAUAUAGUCCCAGGUCUUUCUCUGCCUCUGUGGUGGAUAGUGGAGUGUUUCCCAUGUGGUAUUGGUGUGCUGGAUAUCCCUUCACUGGUAGCCUGGUAACAUACACUCCCAGGUCCUUCUCUGCCUCUGUGGUGGAUAGUGGAGUGUUUCCCAUGUGGUAUUGGUGUGCUGGAUAUCCCUUCACUGGUAGCCUGGUAACAUACACUCCCAUGUCUUUCUCUGCCUCUGUGGUGGAUAGUGGAGUGUUUCCCAUGUGGUAUUGGUGUGCUGGAUAUCCCCUCCCAAGGUACAGGACUUUACAUUUUUCCUCAUUGAAUUGUAGCAGCCACUUUUUGUUCCAUUCCUGUAGCUUGGUGAGGUCUUCUGCUAGGAAAUCCGCGGUCAAGGGGUUGACUUUUACCCUUGAAGUUACUCUCAAAGUUAAUAGUUUCAAUUUAUUAAGAGUAACAGUUAUCCUCGUCAAAUUUGAGUGUAAGU